GAUGAACGCUAGCUACAGGCUUAACACAUGCAAGUCGAGGGGAAACGCUGAGAGAGCUUGCUCUCUUAGGCGUCGACCGGCGCACGGGUGAGUAACGCGUAUCCAACCUACCCAUUACAGGGGGAUAACCUUGCGAAAGUAAGACUAAUACCCCAUGGCAUUUUAUGGUGGCAUCAUUAUAGGAUUAAAGAUUUAUUGGUAAUGGAUGGGGAUGCGUCUGAUUAGCUUGUUGGCGGGGUAACGGCCCACCAAGGCAACGAUCAGUAGGGGUUCUGAGAGGAAGGUCCCCCACAUUGGAACUGAGACACGGUCCAAACUCCUACGGGAGGCAGCAGUGAGGAAUAUUGGUCAAUGGGCGAGAGCUUGAACCAGCCAAGUAGCGUGCAGGAUGACGGCCCUAUGGGUUGUAAACUGCUUUUAUAGGGGAAUAAAGUGAGCUACGUGUAGUUUAUUGCAUGUACCCUAUGAAUAAGAACCGGCUAAUUCCGUG
rnacentral:rRNA from 1 species